UCUUGGUUUUUCUUUUCCCUUGGGUCUCAGAUAGCAUUUCUUUAGGGGCACUUUUUCUGAGUCCCUAACUCUGGCCAGCUGUCCCUUCUCUCUGUGUGCCCAGUCCACUCUGUACUGGACCUUACAUGUAUUGUAACUGUUUGUCUACUUCUUUGUCUAUUUCCCUCAUAAGAGUCUAUUCUCCCAGAGGGCAGAUAUUCACUCACCACCAAAUCCCUCACUAGUCAUCUAGUUGAGUACCUGCCUCGUUUAAAUGCUCAAUAAAUAUGUGUUGAAUAAACAGACGAGUAGACAGAUAGAUGGACAGAUGAACGGAUAGAUGAAAGGAUGGAUGGAUGAUUGAUUGUGGUCUGAAUUAACUGGCAAGGGAGCAAAAAUGAGGAUAUGACUGAGAGCAUUUUGGAAUUCUUAGAAUAGGAGAAUCACACACAAAAUUUGAAUCCUUUUAGUCAAAUGUGUGAAGAUUCAGGGCAAACAUAACUUUGUGCAUAAAUAUACAGGAAACUUGUCAUGACCCCAGGGGAAUAGUUAGGUUACAAAUGAAUGAAUUAUUUAACUCAUCUAUUGUUCUUCAAUAGUCAUAACGAUGCCGCCUUGGUUUUAUACAAAUCUUUUUCCCCCAAAGGGGUUAAAUCAUUCAGCAAAAGACAGAGUUUGUGACUUUCCAUUUCAAAGAAUUUUCUCAACUAUCUGGUUAUUCCAAGUGUCUGAAAAGAAAGAAGAGAAAAGGAAAGGAGGAGGAAGUGACGCCAUGAGGAAAAAAGUCAGAUAAAAGCAAAUUGUCCCUGACAAAUAUGACUCAUACACCUUUUAACCAAGUCAUUCUGAGAAAAGGAAGCCAUUGUUACUCGGAUUUAACCUCUGAGACUACAAACACUGCAAUGCUUAGGAGAAGAAACUUGAUGCAGUGAUGGAAGGACUCCCACACACAUAAAUACACUCUACACAGAAUAUCCAGUUUGGCCAUAACCUCAAACUCAUCUGCCAUUUUGGCCUUUGGAAGGGAGGAAACAGAACAGCUGUGACUCCAAGUCAUGAAAAUUACUGCUGAAUCUCCAUCAACUCAGCCUGUUUUUGAAUGUGGGUAGUAAAGUGAUUCGUCUUUUUUUUUUUUUUUUUUUUUUUUUUUUUUGAGAUGGAGUUUUGCUCUUGUUACCCAGGCUGGAGUGCAAUGGCGAGAUCUCGGCUCACCGCAACCUCCGCCUCCUGGGUUCAGGCAAUUCUCCUGCCUCACCCUCCCGAGUAGCUGGGACUACAGGCGUGUGCCACCAUGCCCAGCUAAUUUUUGUAUUUUUAGUAGAGAUGGUGUCAAGAAGGUGAAACCUUGUUUACCAGGAUGGUCUCGAUCUCUUCACCUAGUGAUCCACCCACCUCGGCCUCCCAAAGUGCUGAGAUUAUAGGCGUGAGCCACUGCGCCCGGCCAAUUCCUUAGUCUUAUGAAUUAAAACUGCUAGGUAAAUACCUCUUCAAUUUACUAUACAACUCACUUGUAGUUCCCACAUUUGCUUCUUUUAUUAAAAAACAAAAUUAUUAAGAUAUAAUUUAUGUAAUCACACAAUUCACCCAUUAAAAUCAUACAAUUCAAUGAUCUUUUGUCUAUUACAUUACUACUUUAAAAAAUUGCUUCUAAAUUGCCUGUAGUCCCAGCACUUUGGGAGGCCGAGGUGGGCGGAUCACCUGAGGUCAGGAAUUCGAGACCAGCCUGACCAAUAUGGAGAAACCCCAUCUCUACUAAAACUAUAAAAAAAUUAGCCAGGCCUGGUGUGCAUGCCUGUAAUACCAGCUACUAGGGACACUGAGGCAGGAGACUCGCUUGAACCCAGGAGGCAAAGGUUGCGGUGAGUCAAGAUCACACUAUUGUACUCUAGCCUGGGCAAUGAGUGAAACUCCUUCUCAAAAAAAAAAAUCGUUUCUAAGUUUUCUUAUUAGAAUUUUCAGUACUGCUACUAAAAAAGGGAAGAAAAUAGACAUAGAGAAGAGAAUGACAGUAGAAGUAUAGAAGGGAGAGGAGAAAGUGAGGCAGGACCAGAAAGGAAGGAAGCUAAUGGCCUCAAAAGAAGGAGCUGACUGCUUCCAGACUUUUCAAUCUUUUAGCCAGGAUUCAAGAACCAACAUGGCGGCCUGUCCCCC
rnacentral:lncRNA from 1 species